UCCAGACUCCUACGGGAGGCAGCAGUGGGGAAUAUUGGGCAAUGGGCGCAAGCCUGACCCAGCAACGCCGCGUGAAGGAAGAAGGCUUUCGGGUUGUAAACUUCUUUUCUGAGGGACGAAGAAAGUGACGGUACCUCAGGAAUAAGCCACGGCUAACUACGUGCUAGCAGCCGCGGUAAUACGUAGGUGGCAAGCGUUAUCCGGAUUUAUUGGGUGUAAAGGGAGCGUAGACGGCCAAGCAAGCCAGGGGUGAAAGCCCGGGGCCCAACCCCGGGACUGCCCUUGGAACUGCAUGGCUGGAGUGCGGGAGGGGCAGGCGGAAUUCCUGGUGUAGCGGUGAAAUGCGUAGAUAUCAGGAGGAACACCGGCGGCGAAGGCGGCCUGCUGGACCGCGACUGACGUUGAGGCUCGAAAGCGUGGGGAGCGAACAGGAUUAGAUACCCCUGUAUC
rnacentral:rRNA from 1 species